rnacentral:rRNA from 1 species
AACGAACGCUGGCAGCGUGGAUUAGGCAUGCAAGUCGAACGAAAAGCUUUUCUAUCAAUCCUUCGGGAGAGACUGAAAAGUGGAAAGUGGCGAAAGGGUGAGUAACGCGUGGGCAAUCUGCCCUCAAGUUCGGGAUAACUCUGGGAAACUGGGACUAAUACCGAAUGUGGUCCUUGAUCGCAUGAUCGAGGUACUAAAGGUGGGGAUUCUUCGGAACCUGCCGCUUGUUGAGGAGCCCGCGUAUGAUUAGCUUGUUGGUGAGGUAACGGCUCACCAAGGCUCCGAUCAUUAGCUGGUCUGAGAGGAUGAUCAGCCACACUGGGACUGAGACACUGCCCAGACUCCUACGGGAGGCUGCAGUCGAGAAUCAUUCGCAAUGCGCGAAAGCGUGACGAUGCGACGCUGCGUGGAGGAUGACGGCCUUAGGGUUGUAAACUCCUGUCAUUAGGGAAAAGUUGUCUUGUGGUUAAUAACCACGAGGCUCGAUGGUACCUCAAGAGGAAGCCACGGCUAACUCUGUGCCAGCAGCCGCGGUAAUACAGAGGUGGCGAGCGUUGUUCGGAUUUACUGGGCGUAAAGGGUGCGUAGGUGGUCAUAUAUGUCGGGUGUGAAAGCCCACGGCUCAACCGUGGAACUGCAUCCGAUACUGCUUGACUAGAGUGCAGGAGGGGAGAGCGGAAUUCUUGGUGUAGCGGUGAAAAUGCGUUGAUAUCAAGAAGAACACCGGUGGCGAAGGCGGCUCUCUGGUAUGUUACUGACACUGAGGCACGAAAGUUGGGGGAGCGAACAGGAUUAGAUACCCUGGUAGUCCCAACCGUAAACGGUGUGCACUUGGUGGUGGGGGGGAAUUGACCCCCUUCCGUGCCGUAGCUAACGCGUUAAGUGCGCCGCCUGGGGAGUACGGUCGCAAGAUUAAAACUCAAAGAAAUUGACGGGGGCCCGCACAAGCGGAGGAGCAUGUGGCUUAAUUCGAUGCAACGCGAAGAACCUUACCAGGGCUUGACAUAUACCUGCACGCUCUCCGAAACGAGAGAAGCUUUCGAAGGUGGUAUACAGGUGCUGCAUGGCUGUCGUCAGUUCGUGCCGUGAGGUGUUUGGUUAAGUCCAGCAACGAACGCAACCCUUGUGACUAGUUGCCACCGAAGGUUCAUAGCCUUCGAGCACUCUAGUCAGACUGCCCUUGCAAGAGGGAGGAAGGUGGGGAUGACGUCAAGUCAGUAUGGCCCUUACGUCUGGGGCUGCACACGUGCUACAAUGGCCGGUACAGAAGGUUGCAAUACCGCGAGGUGGAGCUAAUCCCUAAAACCGGCCCCAGUUCGGAUUGGAGUCUGCAACUCGACUCCAUGAAGUUGGAUUCGCUAGUAACGGCGUAUCAGCUACGACGCCGUGAAUACGUUCCCGGGCCUUGUACACACCGCCCGUCACAUCAUGAAAGCCGUCUGCACCCGAAGUCGUUGAUCCAACCCGCAAGGGAGGAAGGCGCCGAAGGUGUGGGUGGUGAUUGGGAUG